AGUGAACGCUGGCGGUAGGCCUAACACAUGCAAGUCGAACGGCAGCACAGUAGGAGCUUGCUCUUACGGGUGGCGAGUGGCGGACGGGUGAGGAAUACAUCGGAAUCUACUUUUUCGUGGGGGAUAACGUAGGGAAACUUACGCUAAUACCGCAUACGACCUACGGGUGAAAGCAGGGGAUCUUCGGCCCUUGCGCGAUUGAAUGAGCCGAUGUCGGAUUAGCUAGUUGGCGGGGUAAAGGCCCACCAAGGCGACGAUCCGUAGCUGGUCUGAGAGGAUGAUCAGCCACACUGGAACUGAGACACGGUCCAGACUCCUACGGGAGGCAGCAGUGGGGAAUAUUGGACAAUGGGCGCAAGCCUGAUCCAGCCAUACCGCGUGGGUGAAGAAGGCCUUCGGGUUGUAAAGCCCUUUUGUUGGGAAAGAAAAGCAGCAGGUUAAUACCCCGCUGUUCUGACGGUACCCAAAGAAUAAGCACCGGCUAACUUCGUG
rnacentral:rRNA from 1 species